GGAGUUGUGGCUCGGCGGUAGAGCGCUCACCUCGCACAUGCGAGACCCUGGGUUCGAUCCUCAGCACCA
rnacentral:tRNA from 1 species